UACGGGGGGAGCAAGCGUUGUUCGGAUUUACUGGGCGUAAAGGGCGCGUAGGCGGCGCGACAAGUCACUUGUGAAAUCUCCGGGCUUAACCCGGAGCGGCCAAGUGAAACUGUCAUGCUAGAGUGCAGAAGGGGCAAUCGGAAUUCUUGGUGUAGCGGUGAAAUGCGUAGAUAUCAAGAGGAACACCUGAGGUGAAGACGGGUUGCUGGGCUGACACUGACGCUGAGGCGCGAAAGCCAGGGGAGCAAACGGG
rnacentral:rRNA from 1 species